rnacentral:rRNA from 1 species
AGGUGAAAAGCACCCCGACGAGGGGAGUGAAACAGUUCCUGAAACCGGACGCCUACAAGCAGUGGGAGCCUCCCGGACUUCGGUCGGGCGGGGUGACCGCGUACCUUUUGUAUAAUGGGUCAUCGACUUGGUCUCACGAGCAAGCUUAAGCCGUUAGGUGUAGGCGCAGCGAAAGCGAGUCUGAAUAGGGCGACCGAGU